GAGGCGGGAAUAAAGACACGAGAAACGGGCUUGAUUGACGGGCAGGUUGUUAACCGUUGACGUCCUGCCGCCUGCCGGAGAUUGAAGUUGCUACAGAGAAGACGAAUUUGACGACGCCAUUUUUCUGCUGCUAUUACGUUACGGCAGGUCAGAGAUGGCGCUGCGGCCCUUUUCUUUCCCAUCCCCAGAAACUCGCUUCUUUACAGCUGACAGUUUAAUCUACAAGUUCAAGAUUAGAGGAGGAAACAGCUUCAGUGAAGAUGAGGCUUUACAAGAAGGAAGCUUUGAUCAAGAAAUGGAGGAAAUUGUCAGAGCUGUCCUUGGCAACUUGGACUGCCUCCAGCCCUUCUCCACUCAACAUUUCAUCAUUUUUCCUUAUAAAAAGAGCUGGGGGAAAGUGUGCAAACACGAUGCGAAGAAGCUGUCAUUCUAUCCCUUUGCUAUCAUCCUCUACCUGGAGAAGAACACGUUCAGAGGGAAUGAAAGAGAAAAGAUGAAGGAAAUGCAGCUCAUUCCCACUUUUUCUGAUGAGCCACAGCCAAAGCGCAGCCGCGGGGACUCACCACUAGAGGACGCCAUUAUUAAACGAUUAAUGAAAGACAUGGAAACUGAAAGCAGCAAAUCAGUGACUGGGAUGGUGGAGUUGGAGCAUCAGCACACGGUGGAGGAGGCAGCGCAGGAUCCAGCAACUACUGAAGAGCCUCAGAUGAUACAGUUCACAGCAGAGAAGGACAGGAUGCCUGAGAAACCAGGGAUUCUCAAGCAACUUAUCAGAAAGGUCUUCCCUUUCAUUUUCAGACCUCCUGAAGAUUAAACAGACCCAGAACUAAUAACUGUGCACAAUCCACCUGGGGAACGUUUUACCUGUGCACACCUGCUGGGAGAGAAAAAUGGCAGAGAACAUGCUAUGAUGAGGCCUAUUAAAGAAGCCAGACCAAGAAGCCAAAUAACCAAAUUAUAAUCUGUUUAUUGUUUUCCUGUGUUGUCUUUCACUAACAUUUCAUUAACUAUAAAUAUAAGAAUAGUUCAUUGUUACAAAAACAACAUCACAACGAGUAGUAGAUGAAGAAUAGGCAAAUAUUUAUUUAAAGGAAGUAGGUAGUGCAUUAUUUUGUUUAAUUUACCAUUUCCAACAGUCUUUGUUUAAUUUACAGAUAUUAUUUACAAAUGGUCAUUGAAGUUCAGAUUCAUAAUAAAUACAUUUUCUACAUUC